CAAUCCGAGCUAUUCAUCAGACCUCAAGGCAUGCUUGCUACCUGUGAGGCAGUGUUUGACUAUCAGAGGGGGAGGCAGAGCUGUUACCCUCCCUACAAAUCUCUCCCUGCAAUUCCAGGAAGCUCCGUAAAGCUGUCCUAGCACCCUGACAUGAAGUGACUCGUGCCCAGGAGCAAUUGCUGCAGCUAACGGAACAUUUCCAUGCCAAUAAAUACAUGAGUACAGUAAGCAGCCAAGAGUGUACAAAGUCUUGGCCCAGCAUGUUGGUGAACAGGUGCUUAAUGCUGUGAUCUCUUACUAAGCUUCAGAGUGUGAACAGCAAACACGGAGCCAACAUAUUUCUAUGGAUUUGCUUUAUUAAGGCUUUCAUAAAACAUUUAAUUUACUGCUUAGAAAGUGUUUAUUUAUUUUUAUUAAAAUGUCAGCUCCCGACUCCAUA